rnacentral:lncRNA from 1 species
AAUAUUGAAGAAAGAAAAGGGGGAAGACUUUCGGUUAUUUGAAUGCUUAAGAAGGUUAGUAUAUUGUGUUAAAAUUAUGAAAUUUAGCUUUUUUUAGGUUAAUUAUCAUGGUUCUUACUUAGCCCAUGCUAAAUUUUUAAGUUUUGAUGGAUGGAUGGAGCAUUCAGUUAUGGUUAUUAAAGAAGGAAUUUGAUUAUUUCCUUUAAGUUUUGAUGAAGAAUGUGUUGAGGAAAGAAAUUCAUCUUGCUAAAAAUAUGAAUUUUUAAUGCUCAUAUAUGUAAUAGCCGAAAAUAAAAAUGCUUGAUGUCUUGAACAAAUGUUGUUUCGAUGUAUUAAAUUGAGUAAAUUAGAUGUUUGAACACUUAAGGAUUCGGCAUUGUUCAUGAUUUUUUUUAGAAUGUGAUUUUGAAUGAUAUGAGUAAUAUUAUGCAUAGGUUUCGGCUUUGAUAAGUAAAAAUAUAAUGGUGACUUAAGUUGAAUAACACUCGGCUAAGGAUUAUCAAUGUUAGCUAAUUUGGCAUAAGAGUAUAGGUGACAACUACUUUGUAUUUGAAGUUUUGAAGAAUAGGUAGGGUUUAAUUAAGUGAUGAAGGUUAAAUUUUUUAAGUUUGGUUAAAUUGGGCAUUCGGCAUUACUUAUGACAUCGGAUAAGAGUGUAUGAUAGGCUAAGUUUGAGUAGUUAAGUACAUUAAAAUAGUUGAUGAUUUGAGUACUACCUAUGGUUGAUUCGGUUAUGGUCUUUGCAUGAGUAAAGUGUUAUUAUGUGCAUAUAUGCUAAGGAAUAUUCAACUAUGUUAUAAAUAUUAUAAAAUGAAAUGGUGUAUAUGGAAUUAUGAUAAGAGAUAUAUUUUGAUUUUGUUACAAAUUAUAAUCCAGCACUUACUCCAUGAUAAAAAACAUGAAAUUAUAUGCAAAUUUAGUUUAUGAAAUUCGAUUAUGCAAGGUAAUAAGUUAGUAAAAUGUUCCUUGAUAGUUUAGUUUAUUAAUUGGGAAUAAAUGUGAUUGUCGAUUGUAGCCUAGUAAUAUGUUCGAUUAUGCAUGAGUAGGGCAUAUGAAUGAUGUUUAAAUAGCUAGUUUAGUAAGGUCAUUUGUACCUUAAAUAUAUGAUAUAUAUAUACAUAUUAAAUUAAAUUGAUUAAUUGAUAAGUAAUUGAACAAAAUUCAUUUGUUUAAAUUAAGCUCAAGAGUAAAGAGGAACUAAUUCAAAUAGGGGAAAGGAGAAAGCAAUCGAGUAGCCUAUCUGCAACUAUUCAAAACAUCCGAGGUAAGUCUUUGAGUAAUGGAACUUAGCUUAUGAUUUGAUAAAAUCAUGAUAUAUAAGCAUAAUAUAUAAAUUGUAAACUAAUGUUUCUACUUGAAUUAAGUAGUGAGAUAAAUAAUUUGUACAUAUGACUUGUAUUCGAAUGCUUAUAGAGAUCAUGUUGAAUAUUGAAAUGAAAUCGGUUUCUUUGUACGUGGCUAUUAAGCCGAAAGUGAAAUUAUUGAUAAGCAUGUUGUGCUUGUGUUCUAGUAAGGUAAAUGAAAUGCUAAUGUAUUAAGAUAUAUAUAUGUGCACGAUAAUUGAGGAUUUUAACCGGGCUAAGACCCGCAGGCCUUGUGUGAGAUUUAUAUCCGGGCUAAGUCCCGAAGGCAUUCGUGCUGGUGUUAUAUCCGGGCUAAGUCCCGAAGGUAUUCGUGCUGGUAUUAUAUCCGGGCUAAGUCCCGAAGGCAUUCGUGCUGAUAUUAUAUCCGGGCUAAGUCCCGAAGGCAUUCGUGCUGAUGUUAUAUCCGGGCUAAGUUGCGAAGGCAUUUGGGUUGGAAAUGUGUGAUCUUGCUGUAAUAAUUCAAAUAAAUGGGCUCACAAACCUAAGAUGGUCAGGUAUGUACCAUAUAUAUGUUAUAAAAAUUGAUUCGGUUUAAAUUGUGAUUAUUCAUUUAGAUAGUGUUCUUUCGGCCAUUGCAUAUGGUUGUAUGAAGUAUAUAUAUAACUUAUUCAGGAUAUUUGAAUUUUGAUUCAAGUGAAAAUAUGUUAAGAUUGGCUCUGAGUAUGUAAGUAUAUUUGUUGAAGUAUAAAGUAACAUGAACAUGUGAAUAUGCGUAUAUGUAUUUAUUUAGCCUUGAAAUUGAAUGAGAUGUAUUCGGCUAAAUAAUGAAGUUGGUUGAAUAAAAAGAAGUUAUCUAUGUGAUAUGAAUUGAUGUUUAAGGAAUAAAUUAAAAUGACAGGCAUGAACAAUAGUAGUAUAUUUAGACAUGUUUAUAUUAGGUCAAAGAAAAGAUGAUAAGCAAUAUGAAUGCUAUGCCUUAAUUUUUAAUGAUUUCAUUACUUAAAAGUUACUAAGCAUAGAAAUGUUUACUAUGUUGCUUUAAUCCUCUGUUUUAUAGAUCUUGUUCGUUAGCUACGGUCUCGGGGAUCCCAAAGUCGAAGUCGUCCACACUAUCUAAGCCCAUUCUGUACACUAGUAGUUAAACUU